rnacentral:tRNA from 1 species
GGGGCCGCUGGCCUUCGGGGGCCCCGGCCAUUAGAGCUUCCUGCAACGCCGCGCCCCGUUCGAUGCGGGAGCGCCCCUG